AUAAGUAAGCCGUUUUGAUCAAGUUCUGCUUCAUCUCUUUGCUUCCUUUGCCUUUUGUCUACAGAUCUGUAAAUUAAUCCUGUCCCUUGAAACAAAUAUUUCAAUGUUAAUAAGGUAAUCAGUCAUUUAUAGGUGUUUCUGAAGCUUAAAGAGAGAAACCCGUUUUAGAUUUUGAAUGUUAAGGUGUGUCACAUGUACUUCUAUCCCAGAUGUUACAUUUUUCCUUAGUGGUAGCGUAAAAACAGCUGUAAAGCUUCUAUUGGUCUCCUUUAAAUCUUGCAGAAAAAUAGCGCACACGUGUGUGUGUGUGUGUGUGUGUGUGUCAGCGUGAGAGGGAUUAGGUAUUUGGACAACAUCAGUUAAUAUUAGAUGAGAUCAGCUAAAUUUGUAGACAUAAACAGGAUGUGUAACCAGAUAAGUCUAUAAUGUUACUGUCACCUUAUCUGCUAACUGCUACUAAGCAGCUUUGUUUAGUUUGGAGCCCAAAUGUUACUUUUGGGAAACUGGUGAUUUGGAUUGAAAAAUGUAGAUACUUGAUUUUCAAAAAAAUUAAGCCCACACCCUAGUCUCAUAUUCAUAGAUUUAUAACCUGUUAGCGUGUCUUUUUACAAAGUGCAAGUUGCUCAUUUAUUUAUUUAUUUAUUUUUGUACAAUUACAUAUAUUGCCAUCAUCCUCCCUAGUCAUGUUUUUGGUAUUUGAAGAAUGAGUGACGGGAAAUUUUGGUCCUUCUCUGCUAAAACCUGGGCCAGCCCUUUCCCGUGGUUUAAUUCAUUGCCUUUUAAUUCUGUGUUAUCCGUUCCCCUGUCACUUCCAAUUUUUAUAAUUAACUCUCCAGUUGCCUUUUUUUUAAAAAAAAAUGGGUAUGUUUAUUUUUUAUUAUAAAAGUAACAUGUAUUAAUGAUAAAGAAUUUUUUAAUACCAAAAAACCACCGGCGUAAGGAUGAAAAUUAAAAUCAUCUGUAAUUCUAUACCCAGAUGCAAUCACUAUUCAUACCUUGGUUUUUGUGCUUCUGUAUUCCUUCCUCUGCAUGUUCACCUGUAUGUUUAUAUUUGUUUGAUUAAAGAUGGGUUAGCAAAAUGAUACUACUUUAUAACUUUUGUUUAAAAACUUAAUGUCAUCUACCAUGGCAAUUUUCCAUGCUUCUAAAUAGAAUUCUACCUCAUCAUUUCUAAUGAUUGCAUAGUGUUCGGAUCUUUGGAUCAAUAUUCUUUACUUAAGCCAUCCCCAUAAAUGGCAUUUCACAAUUUUUUCUCAGCAAUAAUAAUAAUAGGUAACAUUGAGUGAGUGCUUACUAAGUUCCUGGCACUGUUCUAGGUACUUUAUUUAUUUGCUUAUUUUAUCCUUAAAACCCCUUGAGGCAAAUACUAUUAUUAUCUCUGCUUUAUCCAUGAAGAAACCGAAGCAUAGAACGUUUGACUUGCCGAAGGUCACAUGCUCGGUAGAGGUUCGCGUCAGGAGUCUGGAUCCAGACAGCCUGGCUCCUCCACUCCAAGCUCUUAAUCACCCCUCUGUCACUGUUGGCCCCAUAAACAGCGUCACCAAGACUAUUCUUGAACAUACAUUUUUUUUUUCACUUCACUAAUUAUUUUCUUUGGAUGUGCUUUCGGAGGUAGACUUGCCUCGUCAAAGCAUAGGCGUAGCAUCAAGUUUUGAUUCAGGCGUAGGUUGUACCACUUCAUGGUUUGAGCAGCAGUCAGAAGGUGCCCCCUUUCCAACACCUUCUCCAGUACUGAUGUUAAGAUUCCUUUCCACAUUUGCCCAUAUAAGAAGUGAAUAUUGUGUCUUUUAAAAAUUUUUAUUUUUCUGUUGUGAGCUUUUACAUAUUUCAAAGCCUAUUUUCCCAUAGAGUUUUUCGUCUGUAAAUUGCCUGUUUGCUUUUUCAGUUUUUCUGAGCUGGUGAGAUUUUUUUUUCUGGUAAUUGACUUGGAAGAAGUCUUUUGGUAGCACAACUGUUAAUCUACUCUUAUAUAUUAAAAAUACAGCUUAGGAUUUGCAUUUAAACCUCAUAAUUCUUUUGCCAUGAAGAAGUUUAAAAUUUUAUUAAUUCUGUAUAUCAAUUUGUGUUGUUUGGGUUUAAUGUUAUCUGUAAAAGGCCUUCUACUUCAAAGUUAUUAGAAUAUUUACUGUUUAUAUUGUCUCAAUAUUUUUGCAGUUUGAUAUUUUCAUAUUUAAAUCAUGAAUGUAUGUGGCUAUUAGAAAAGUUAUGAUACGAGAAUCUAAAAGUUAUUAAAUAUUCCUAGAUUUUUUUAAGCAUAUUUGUGUUUUUUAAAAUAUUUGAAUACAUGGAGUUCCUGUCGUGGCACAGUGGUUAGCGAAUCUGACUAGGAACUGUGGGGUUGUGGGUUUGAUCCCUGGCCUUGCUCAGUGGGUUAAGGAUCCGGCGUUGUCGUGAGCUGUGGUGUAGGUUGCAGAUGUGGCUUGGAUCUCUCGUGGCUGUGUCUGGGGUGUAGGCCGGUGGCUACAGCUCCCAUUGGACCCUAGCCUGGGAACCUCCAUAUGCGGCGGGAGCGGCCCUAGAAAAGGUAAAAAGACAAACAAAAAAAAUUUUUGAAUACAGAAUUCUACAUCCUCCAGGAAGGUUUUUCUGGCCACUCCUACCCACAAGCUCUCCAUCUGCGUCAGAAGGCAAUCGAGAGCCCAGACUUAAGCCUGGGUGGAGACACAUCUUUGCCACUUAAAAAGUAUGCCAUCUGGAUAAGUCAUGGAACCUUUCUAAUCCACAAUUGCCUAUGUGCAGCAUAGAAAUUAUGAAAGUUAUUGCAGAGACUUGCCAUGAGCCUAAAAUCUAUGAACUCAUGUAAAAACAAUGUGUCUUUAAAUGUUACUGCUGUCAUUAACAAGUUACAGCAUUCAGUUAAAUGACCUCCUUGGAACAUCUUUCACUUUGGUGACAUUAUUAUUUAAUUUCUUCACAGGUCUUUCAUGUCCCCUUAGUUAAAAUACAUGCUGCUUUGAUGGCGGAGGCUGGUUGUAUCUUGUUAUGUCACCCCAGAGCCCCUGACAGUGAUAUACGGAUUUCUCUUGAAUAAAUAAAAUACUAAUUAGAAGAGGCAAAGGUGAAUUGAUGCCAUACCACUUGAUCCUUUGAAAAAAAAAAAGUAAGGCAGUUAUUCUGACAUACCCUGAAAUUUAAAUACCUUUUAUGCUGGAUGAGGUGAAACGGCAUGAAGUAAGAAAUAUGAAAAAAAAACGGGAAAAGGCAGGGACAGGAUAAAAACCUCCAAAAGACUUUUGAAAAUUAAGUCAGUGGUUCACCUGCAGCGGUUGUUGUAUAUACCCUGUCAUGCAAGUAAGGCGGGGAGACAAAAAGGUUGAGAGCCACUGCCAAGAGUUCUAAACUCAAAACAAAAUGUCUCAUUGUAGAAUAAGCCAUCACUGUACCUUCACCUCAGCACGGCUUGAUUCCUAGUCAGGGCCAGGAGAAAUGUUCAGAGUCGAGUUUCCCCUGCUCCUGCUGCUUGUAUUUUCAUACUUGUUCCGUGGGCAACAAUAGUUGUCAGCCCCGCACCUCUCCCUGGGUUAGAACAGAAGUGGUGUGAAGUUGAAACUUCACAAAGGUGUGUCCUGUGCUUGCAGUUGUAUCAGAUAAUUCCGACAGUUCUCACGAUCCGCCCUUCUCGGCCCUUGCACCCAGCCAGCCUCCCACCUUGAGUCAACAAACCUUGAAGCCAUAUAAGCACAGAUGUAAUGCCAGGCCAGGUCCCUGCGGAAAGGAAUAAACAGGAAAAGCAAGUACGCCGUGGACUUCAUUGUGGAGAGCAACCACAUGCGCCACCAUGGACUCUGUCCCCCAGCCAGUCCCCUCCAUGUGGCCGCAUAAAGCGCCUGUGAACAGGCCAGUGAUAUCAACUGAUGUGUAGUCUCCGAAAGAAUUUUCCUUCCCUCCUCCCCCCUAACCUUCCUCCUGCCCACAGUGGGAAUAACUGCCUGGUGAGUGGAGUUGGGUUUGCUCUUCCUAAAGCUGUGUUGGCCCUACACGUGCCCCACUGAUUUGUCUUUCCACUGUUCUUUCCCACGUGGCGGGCCAGAUGGAAGAUGACUUGUCAUUUCUGCAACAAGCAAAGGCAAGACCCAACACUUAGGCUUCGUCUCAGAGGGCUUGCCCUAUGAGUUAAGAUAAAUAUGAAGGCCUGACAGUAUUGGUAGUUGACCCUCUAGAAGAAUUAAAAUGUUGAGCAUAGGACAUACUAAUAAAAGCACAAAUAAAGGAAUUUGAUACAUUCUGUCUACACUGGAGAUGGUUACAUAUGAAAUACUGGAGGUAUUAGAGAAAGCUCCUGUU
ensembl:lncRNA